UUGUCCAUUUAAGGCAGACAGUGUCUUGGGUGACCAACACGGGGGUAGAUUAUUUUUCUCUCUCAAACCCAAAGCAAAUGUGCAGUCAGUGCUUUGGAUCCUGUCGUGAGGAACAAUU